UAGCUGAGACAUUAAGGUUUAGAAAAGUGACCAAACCUAAAAUGAGACAAUCGCUUAUCUUGUAAAUAUGGGCACUAGUGAGAUGCUCACUAGAGGUUAAUGAAAUGCCAUUCUUGGGGCCCUCUACACCCAGAUUGCAACUAGGAAAGCUAGGCUCACUCAGAAUGUCUAAAAGAAAUUCUUAAGAGCUAAAGUUAAUUUUUGUGUCUUACUAAUGCAAUGAACAAUCCAAAGCCACACAAGACAGGUUCUUUGGCAGAAAGAAAAAUAAUGACAAGGGUAUAAGAAACCUUUUUAUCUUCAGCAUUUAUGAACCUAGAUAAAUGGAUAAUUCAUUUGAAAUGAAACUCAAAAAUCAAGUAGAAGCUCCUCUCCAAAUCAGGCCAGUCAGAUUAUCCUGGAGCGGAUUCUAUGUGAAGUCACAGGUCUUGGUGCCCUAGGGCAGCCCUUUGCUGUGGGUGUGCCAGGGGAACCUGAGCUAUGGUUUAAAGGCCUUCAAGAUGAGGCCAGAAAUUUCUCUUAAGUGCUCAGUAUCUUGUGUGUGUGUGUGUGUGUGUGUGAUACUGGGGACUGAACCCAGAGGCCCUCCACCACUAAACUGUAUCUCUAGUCCUUUCUUUUUAAGUUUUACUUUGAGACAAGGUCUCACUGAAUUGCCGAAGCUGGCCAUGAAUUUGGAGUCCUCCUGCCUCAGCCUCCCAGGUCACUGGGAUUAUAGGCGUGUGCCUCUUCUCCCGGCAGUGCUCAGUAUCAUAAUAGAAAGAUUUAUAAGAGCUCCAGAGAGAAGGCAUUUGUGAUAAAGCGGCGUGGGAAAACUCACGUGCAGGAUUUUCCAAAUUUGUUCUUGUACCAUGGAAUUUUGGUGUAUCAGUAAAGUUCAGUUUCUGAAAUAGCCCAUUAGUUGCUCACACACUGGGUAAGAAAACGAUACUAAUGUUCCCAGUGGAAGGCAAGUCAGGCCUGGCUGCUUUGUUGGAUUUCUCAGCUCUAUUAACAGUGCAUGGUGGUUGACAAUGCAGAUUGCUCU
rnacentral:lncRNA from 1 species